rnacentral:rRNA from 1 species
GGGUUGUGAGGUUAAGCGACUAAGCGUACACGGUGGAUGCCCUGGCAGUCAGAGGCGAUGAAGGGCGUGCUAAUCUGCGAUAAGCGCCGGUAAGGUGAUAUGAACCGUUAUAACCGGCGAUACCCGAAUGGGGAAACCCAGUGUGAUUCGUCACACUAUCAUUAACUGAAUCCAUAGGUUAAUGAGGCGAACCGGGGGAACUGAAACAUCUAAGUACCCCGAGGAAAAGAAAUCAACCGAGAUUCCCCCAGUAGCGGCGAGCGAACGGGGAGGAGCCCAGAGCCUGAAUCAGCAUGUGUGUUAGUGGAAGCGUCUGGAAAGGCGCGCGAUACAGGGUGACAGCCCCGUACACAAAAGCGCAUGUGCUGUGAGCUCGAAGAGUAGGGCGGGACACGUGGUAUCCUGUCUGAAUAUGGGGGGACCAUCCUCCAAGGCUAAAUACUCCUGACUGACCGAUAGUGAACCAGUACCGUGAGGGAAAGGCGAAAAGAACCCCGGCGAGGGGAGUGAAAAAGAACCUGAAACCGUGUACGUACAAGCAGUGGGAGCCCCACCACUAAGCCAGUGGUGAACUCCACAUACGCAUCCUUUGCUGAGGAUACGGUUAACGGAGCGCAAGCGACGUUCAACCGCAAAAGAAGCAGAGGGGGCUUAGUGGUGGGGUGACUGCGUACCUUUUGUAUAAUGGGUCAGCGACUUAUAUUCUGUAGCAAGGUUAACCGAAUAGGGGAGCCGGAGGGAAACCGAGUCUUAAUUGGGCGUUAAGUUGCAGGGUAUAGACCCGAAACCCGGUGAUCUAGCCAUGGGCAGGUUGAAGGUUGGGUAACACUAACUGGAGGACCGAACCGACUAAUGUUGAAAAAUUAGCGGAUGACCUGUGGCUGGGGGUGAAAGGCCAAUCAAACCGGGAGAUAGCUGGUUCUCCCCGAAAGCUAUUUAGGUAGCGCCUCGUGAAUUCAUCUCCGGGGGUAGAGCACUGUUUCGGCUAGGGGGCCAUCCCGGCUUACCAACCCGAUGCAAACUGCGAAUACCGGAGAAUGUUAUCACGGGAGACACACGGCGGGUGCUAACGUCCGUCGUGAAGAGGGAAACAACCCAGACCGCCAGCUAAGGUCCCAAAGUCAUGGUUAAGUGGGAAACGAUGUGGGAAGGCCCAGACAGCCAGGAUGUUGGCUUAGAAGCAGCCAUCAUUUAAAGAAAGCGUAAUAGCUCACUGGUCGAGUCGGCCUGCGCGGAAGAUGUAACGGGGCUAAACCAUGCACCGAAGCUGCGGCAGCGACGCUGAUGCGUUGUUGGGUAGGGGAGCGUUCUGUAAGCCUGUGAAGGUGGCCUGUGAGGGUUGCUGGAGGUAUCAGAAGUGCGAAUGCUGACAUAAGUAACGAUAAAGCGGGUGAAAAGCCCGCUCGCCGGAAGACCAAGGGUUCCUGUCCAACGUUAAUCGGGGCAGGGUGAGUCGACCCCUAAGGCGAGGCCGAAAGGCGUAGUCGAUGGGAAACGGGUUAAUAUUCCCGUACUUGGUGUUACUGCGAAGGGGGGACGGAGAAGGCUAUGUUGGCCGGGCGACGGUUGUCCCGGUUUAAGCGUGUAGGUGUGUGUUCCAGGUAAAUCCGGUUCACUUUAACACUGAGGCGUGACGACGAGGCACUACGGUGCUGAAGCAACAAAUGCCCUGCUUCCAGGAAAAGCCUCUAAGCAUCAGGUAACAUCAAAUCGUACCCCAAACCGACACAGGUGGUCAGGUAGAGAAUACCAAGGCGCUUGAGAGAACUCGGGUGAAGGAACUAGGCAAAAUGGUGCCGUAACUUCGGGAGAAGGCACGCUGACACGUAGGUGAAGUGAUUUACUCAUGGAGCUGAAGUCAGUCGAAGAUACCAGCUGGCUGCAACUGUUUAUUAAAAACACAGCACUGUGCAAACACGAAAGUGGACGUAUACGGUGUGACGCCUGCCCGGUGCCGGAAGGUUAAUUGAUGGGGUCAGCGCAAGCGAAGCUCCUGAUCGAAGCCCCGGUAAACGGCGGCCGUAACUAUAACGGUCCUAAGGUAGCGAAAUUCCUUGUCGGGUAAGUUCCGACCUGCACGAAUGGCGUAAUGAUGGCCAGGCUGUCUCCACCCGAGACUCAGUGAAAUUGAACUCGCUGUGAAGAUGCAGUGUACCCGCGGCAAGACGGAAAGACCCCGUGAACCUUUACUAUAGCUUGACACUGAACAUUGAGCCUUGAUGUGUAGGAUAGGUGGGAGGCUUUGAAGUGUGGACGCCAGUCUGCAUGGAGCCGACCUUGAAAUACCACCCUUUAAUGUUUGAUGUUCUAACGUGGACCCGUUACCCGGGUUGCGGACAGUGUCUGGUGGGUAGUUUGACUGGGGCGGUCUCCUCCUAAAGAGUAACGGAGGAGCACGAAGGUUGGCUAAUCCUGGUCGGACAUCAGGAGGUUAGUGCAAUGGCAUAAGCCAGCUUGACUGCGAGCGUGACGGCGCGAGCAGGUGCGAAAGCAGGUCAUAGUGAUCCGGUGGUUCUGAAUGGAAGGGCCAUCGCUCAACGGAUAAAAGGUACUCCGGGGAUAACAGGCUGAUACCGCCCAAGAGUUCAUAUCGACGGCGGUGUUUGGCACCUCGAUGUCGGCUCAUCACAUCCUGGGGCUGAAGUAGGUCCCAAGGGUAUGGCUGUUCGCCAUUUAAAGUGGUACGCGAGCUGGGUUUAGAACGUCGUGAGACAGUUCGGUCCCUAUCUGCCGUGGGGCGCUGGAGAACUGAGGGGGGCUGCUCCUAGUACGAGAGGACCGGAGUGGACGCAUCACUGGUGUUCGGGUUGUCAUGCCAAUGGCAUGCCCGGUAGCUAAAUGCGGAAGAGAUAAGUGCUGAAAGCAUCUAAGCACGAAACUUGCCCCGAGAUGAGUUCUCCCUGAGACUUAGAGUCUCCUGAAGGAACGUUGAAGACGACGACGUUGAUAGGCCGGGUGUGUAAGCGCAGCGAUGCGUUGAGCUAACCGGUACUAAUGAACCGUGAGGCUUAACCUUACAACGCCGAAG